rnacentral:rRNA from 1 species
UACGAAGGGGGCUAGCGUUGCUCGGAAUCACUGGGCGUAAAGGGUGCGUAGGCGGGUCUUUAAGUCAGGGGUGAAAUCCUGGAGCUCAACUCCAGAACUGCCUUUGAUACUGAGAGUCUCGAGUCCGAGAGAGGUGAGUGGAACUGCGAGUGUAGAGGUGAAAUUCGUAGAUAUUCGCAAGAACACCAGUGGCGAAGGCGGCUCACUGGCUCGGUACUGACGCUGAGACGCGAAAGCGUGGGGAGCAAACAGG